AAAGGAAUAGACGGGGGCCCGCACAAGCAGCGGAGCAUGUGGUUUAAUUCGAAGCAACGCGAAGAACCUUACCAGGUCUUGACAUCCUCUGAGCGCCCAAGAGAUUGGGUUUUCCCUUCGGGGACAGAGUGACAGAUGGUGCAUGGUUGUCGUCAGCUCGUGUCGUGAGAUGUUGGGUUAAGUCCCGCAACGAGCGCAACCCUUAUGUUUAGUUGCCAGCAAGCAAGAUGGGCACUCUAAACAGACUGCCCGUGAAAGCGGGAGGAAGGUGGGGAUGACGUCAAAUCAUCAUGCCUCUUACGGCCUGGGCUACACACGUGCUACAAUGGUCUGUACAGAGGGUAGCGAAGCCGUGAGGCGGAGCCAAUCUCAAAAAACAGAUCUCAGUUCGGAUUGCAGGCUGCAACUCGCCUGCAUGAAGUCGGAGUUGCUAGUAAUCGCGAAUCAGCAUGUCGCGGUGAAUGCGUUCCCGGGCCUUGUACACACCGCCCGU
rnacentral:rRNA from 1 species